rnacentral:rRNA from 1 species
AUUGAACGCUGGCGGCAGGCCUAACACAUGCAAGUCGAGCGGACGAAGGGAGCUUUCUCCUGGAUUCAGCGGCGGACGGGCGAGUAAUGCCUAGGAAGCUGACUGGUAGUGAGGGAUAACGUCCGGUAACGGGCGCUAAUACCGCAUACGACCUGAGUGAGAAAGUGGGGGAUCUUCGGACCUCACGCUAUCAGAUGAGCCUAGGACGGAUUAGCUAGUUGGUGGGGUAAAGGCUUACCAAGGCGACGAUCCGUAACUGGCCUGAGAGGAUGAUCAGCCACACUGGAACUGAGACACGGUCCAGACUCCUACGGGAGGCAGCAGUGGGGAAUAUUGGGCAAUGGGCGAAAGCCUGAUCCAGCCAUGCCGCGUGUGUGAAGAAGGUCUUCGGAUUGUAAAGCACUUUAAGUUGGGAGGAAGGGCAGUAAGUUAAUCCCUUGCUGUUUUGACGUUACCAACAGAGUAAGCACCGGCUAACUUCGUG